GACGAACGCUGGCGGCGUGCCUAGCACAUGCAAGUCGAGCGAUGAAAUCCCUUCGGGGAUGGAUUAGCGGCGGACGGGUGAGUAACACGUGGGCAACCUACCUCAAAAUGGGGGAUAGCCUCCCGAAAGGGAGAUUAAUACCGCAUAACAUUAGUUUUUCACAUGAAGAACUAAUUAAAGGAGUAAUCCGUUUUGAGAUGGGCCCGCGGCGCAUUAGCUAGUUGGUGAGGUAAUGGCUCACCAAGGCGACGAUGCGUAGCCGACCUGAGAGGGUGAUCGGCCACAUUGGAACUGAGACACGGUCCAGACUCCUACGGGAGGCAGCAGUGGGGAAUAUUGCACAAUGGGGGAAACCCUGAUGCAGCAACGCCGCGUGAGUGAUGAAGGUCUUCGGAUUGUAAAGCUCUUUCAGCACCGACGAAGCGCAAGUGACGGUAGGUGCAGAAGAAGGACCGGCCAACUACGUGCCAGCCGCCGCGGUAAAAC
rnacentral:rRNA from 1 species